rnacentral:rRNA from 1 species
GGUAAACGCUGGCGGCGUGCAUAACACAUUCAAGUCGAACGAACUGAUUCGAAAGUUUUCUUUUGAUGAAAGUUAGUGGCGGACGGGUGAGUAACGCGUGAGCAACCUGCCUGUCUGUGGGGAAUAACACAUGGAAACGUGUGCUAAUACCGCAUGAAGCAAUCUGAUCGCAUGUUUGGAUUGCCAAAGAUUUAUCGCAGACAGAUGGGCUCGCGUCUGAUUAGCUAGUUGGUGAGGUAACGGCCCACCAAGGCGACGAUCAGUAGCCGGACUGAGAGGUUGAACGGCCACAUUGGAACUGAGAUACGGUCCAG